ANNGGCUUCNGCUAUCACUUUUGGANGGUCCCGCGGCGUAUUAGCUAGAUGGUGNGGUAACGGCUCACCAUGGCAAUGAUACGUAGCCGACCUGAGAGGGUAAUCGGCCACAUUGGGACUGAGACACGGCCCAAACUCCUACGGGAGGCAGCAGUAGGGAAUCUUCCACAAUGGACGAAAGUCUGAUGGAGCAACGCCGCGUGAGUGAAGAAGGGUUUCGGCUCGUAAAACUCUGUUGUUAAAGAAGAACAUAUCUGAGAGUAACUGUUCAGGUAUUGACGGUAUUUAACCAGAAAGCCACGGCUAACUACGUGCCAGCAGCCGCGGUAAUACGUAGGUGGCAAGCGUUGUCCGGAUUUAUUGGGCGUAAAGCGAGCGCAGGCGGUUUUUUAAGUCUGAUGUGAAAGCCUUCGGCUCAACCGAAGAAGUGCAUCGGAAACUGGGAAACUUGAGUGCAGAAGAGGACAGUGGAACUCCAUGUGUAGCGGUGAANNGCNNAGAUAUAUGGAAGAACACCCNUUGGCNAANGCGGNUGUCUNGNCNGNNANUGACNCUGAGGCUCNAANNNNNG
rnacentral:rRNA from 1 species